UACGUAGGUGGCAAGCGUUGUCCGGAUUUACUGGGCGUAAAGGGAGCGUAGGCGGUUUUUUAAGUGGGGUGUGAAAUCCCUGGGCUUAACCCAGGAAUUGCAUUCCAAACUGGGAGACUAGAGUGCAGGAGAGGAAAGUGGAAUUCCAAGUGUAGCGGUGAAAUGCGUAGAGAUUUGGAGGAACACCAGUGGCGAAGGCGACUUUCUGGACUGUAACUGACGCUGAUGCUCGAGAGCGUGGGGAGCAAACAGG
rnacentral:rRNA from 1 species